AUUGAACGCUGGCGGAAUGCUUAACACAUGCAAGUCGAGCGGCAGCCCUGCCUUCGUGCUGUCGGCUAGCGGCGCACGGGUGAGUAAUGCAUCGGCACAUGCCCAGUCGUGGUGGAUAACACUUCGAAAUAAGUGCUAAUACCGCAUACGUCCUGAGGGGGAAAGCGGGGAAUCGCAAGACCUUGCGCGAUUGGAGUGGCUGAUGUCGGAUUAGCUAGUUGGUGGGGUAACGGCCUACCAAGGCGACGAUCCGUAGCUGGUCUGAGAGGAUGAUCAGCCACACUGGAACUGAGACACGGCCCAGACUACUACGGGAGGCAGCAGUGGGGAAUGUUGGACAAUGGGGGCAACCCUGAUCCAGCCAUGCCGCGUGAGUGAAGAAGGCCUUCGGGUUGUAAAGCUCUUUUGGUAGGAAAGAAAAGGUGGGCGCUAACAUCGUACGCUAAUGACGGUACCUUAAGAAGAAGCACCGGCUAACUACGUG
rnacentral:rRNA from 1 species